CUGUGUCGCAACUCGUGGUUUUGCACGCAUAUUUUAGCUGCUGCCCUUGCAUUUUUCUGUCGGCCAUCAGUUCCAAUAUGGCGGCGACCAGCUAUGAUCGCGACGCUGCCGUGAAGGUGGCAGAAGAAAACUACAGUCUCCGGAAGAGGCUUGCACGGAUGGAGUGGGAGGAGGAGAAGCAGAGGCGGGCGGCGGAGUAUGAGUCUCGCUUUGAGGGGGCUGUGGACACUAGCGCCAACGAUAGGAUGCGGGGCCGGAACAGCGCGCUCCAGGAUGAAAUUGCAGGACUGGAGAGCCAGCUGAAGGAGCUGCAGAUGAUCAAUGUUACCGACCUGCAGCACGAGUACACUCGUCUAGACAACCGCCGUGCGUACCUCCUGAACGAAAUUGCUGGCCUCCGACGCAUUCUUGCCAAUCAGAGCAAAGAGGUGAAGCGUGCCACCCGGAGCGUCAACAGUCAACACGAGCUCCGUCGUCAAAACAACGAGCAGCAUGCUGCAUCUAUCGAGGAUAUCCAAAUGUUCAGAAAGAAGAGGGAGUCACUAGCCGAAGAAACCCAACACCUGAUCGCAAAGGAGCGCCAGUUAAUGUCAGAACUGGAGACGCUUCCUGCGCCAGGUGAAGAUCAGGAGGUUAUGGCUAGCCGCCUGAGGGAAGAUAACGAGAAGAAGGACCAUACGAUUGCGCAGCUGGAGGCGACCCUAAAAGAGAAGCAGCUGAAGGCAGGCACCCAACUUGCUGAGGCGAACUCCGCCGUUGACAUUCAGCACCUGCGAGAGGAGUAUGUCCGGUUGAACGACCAGUUGAAGCGCAUCAAGCAGUAAUGCCGGGUACGCCGAUGGGUGGCGGAGCUGUCCAACCUUCGCACGCCAAAUCGGACUGCAGUUUCUCGUUCUGCCAUGGCGAUUUUUUUUUGCCCUUUUUUUGUGUGACGCGCGGGUGGCGGUACAGGGCAUACUUCCCGCUCCGUGUCUCCGCCGACUGCUUUGUAAAGGUUGUUGCUUUUGAUGCCCCUCUCUUUUGAUGUGCGGGGCUGGCGCGAAUGUGUUGUUGCAGAGUAUGUACCGUACGUCUUGGCCCUCCUUUUUUUAUCUUCUCGUUCUUGACUGCGAAGCUUCUGGUGACGAACCUUGGACUCGUCGUGUGUUUCGUGAUGCGGAUGUUUCGUGAGUGACAUGUACAUGUAGUUUAGAACGGCACUGCUCAGGGUGCAUCAGCAAAACGAAAG
rnacentral:misc_RNA from 1 species